rnacentral:lncRNA from 1 species
AAGCUCGACGCGCGCACUCUUGUCUGCUUACGAGGGCUCCUCCCUUCAGCUUUGGUCCCUCGGGGCGUCUGGGCAGCCUACGCUUUCCGGUGUGGAGAUGCUUGUAUCUGGGACCCCCUGCCAUUUCUCAGGACACCCUCCUGCUCCUAGCUGGGAGAUCCAGCAUCCUCAUGAAUGCGGGGCCCAAGGCCACCAACUGUUCCACCUGCUGUCAGCCAGGCCUGUUGCCCCAGCCCUACACCCACAGCUCACCCAGCAGGGACUGGAGUGUGCUGCUGCACUGCUGGAGCCGGUCGCCCGGGUCGGAGGUUGGGAAGAAGACAGCCGCUGGCAGGCCACUGGUUGGGGGGUCCAGCCGGAAGCCCACAGCGGUGAGGAGGGCCUGCCAGCCAGGGAUGCCGCCCACUUUGUUCUCCACACUCUGCUGGGAUGUGUACAUGGCAUUGCGCUGCCCAUUCUGGAUGCGCUGCAGGGAUUUCUCCACCUGAGGGGGAAUUGGGGUAAACACUGGGAUGCCGGAGCUCAGGCAUCCCAGACAGGAGGAAGUGUGUACUCACACCAGCCAGGAGGAAACAAGCCUGCCUGGGAGGACAGACGAUCAGCCCUGGCUGUCCCUCAGGAGCGGGGGGCCUCCAAGGCACACUGCCCACUGGGUCAAGGAGUAUCCAGGAGGAGUUAGAAGCAUGACCCAUCUGCCUGGCACCAGCACCUGGGGCUGCCAGGCAGCCACCCCUGCAGCUGUGUUGACAGGACCUGGCAGAGGGACUGACCCACCUUUGGAAAAUGACACCAGCAAUAUCAGGAUGUGUCAACUGGAUUUAUGCUAAGAAAAUAGGAUUUUUGGUGUUCCUCUGUUUCCCAAAGUUUGAGACACUUUCAGACACUCUGCUUUGCGGUUGUGGCCGAUGUUACCCAUGGGUGGGACUUUUGCUUUGCUCUAGAUUUUUGUAACACCCUGGGGAGUUUCAGGGG